rnacentral:lncRNA from 1 species
CUCUCCUGACUCUCAUUGAACACGCAGGGAAAUAGUUAAUGACAUCAAAAAAUCCCAACAAUUGGUGACCUCUGACGUGGAGGGGGAGAGAACAUUGAUCUGUCGUGUUGCAUUGACAUCAAGGCAUGCCAAAACAUAAGGUCAUCAUUAUCCAGAACCAGGAGCAGCCUUGACGUGCACUGACAGUGCACCGCUGAUGAACAAGCCAUAUUAUGACAAAUUAACAGCUUUACUCUCAGAUUUUUCUGAACAGAUUUUUGUGAAAUGCCUGGAGGGGGCCUAAGAAAAAGUGGUCCCUACAUCUGAAUAGGUGUUGCUGAAGAUUCACCAAACUGGCAGCUAAGGAGUACAGAUGGCGGCCAUGAGUAAAAUCAAGGCCGAGAGGGGGAGUGCGUAGCAAAGAACAACAUAAACAAAUGAUUGACCCGCUGCCCUCAUGACAAGAGGGGACGUCUGACUAAAUAGGGAGUGCAAGCAUGUAUUGGGGUAGGAGCUAAACACGCAGUAACCUCGAUACAUGGGAGCAACCUGAUAGUAGUGCAGGCCUACGGAUGACAACGAGGAAGUGUGCUAUCACAAAAGAGGGACAAAGAACAGUGUUCUGUUUGAUCACAAAAGAGAAAGUCACUGAUUUACCAACAGAUGACAAUUUGACCAGAACAUUUGAGGUUUUGAUUUUCAUUUUAAUCAAUGUCUUGAUUCUACCCAUAAUGCUACAACUUUUAAUUUCAUUGUAAAAAGUUUGGACCUUAGCUCUCAAUGAUAUUAUGGUACUUUUGAAUUUUUCAUUGGAGCAUAUUUUUUUACGGGUU